rnacentral:rRNA from 1 species
GGGUUGUGAGGUUAAGCGACUAAGCGUACACGGUGGAUGCCCCGGCAGUCAGAGGCGAUGAAGGACGUGCUAAUCUGCGAAAAGCGUCGGUAAGGUGAUAUGAACCGUUAUAGCCGGCGAUGUCCGAAUGGGGAAACCCAGUGCAAUUCGUUGCACUAUCGUUAACUGAAUACAUAGGUUAACGAGGCGAACCGGGGGAACUGAAACAUCUAAGUACCCCGAGGAAAAGAAAUCAACCGAGAUUCCCCCAGUAGCGGCGAGCGAACGGGGAGCAGCCCAGAGUCUGAAUCAGCUUGUGUGUUAGUGGAACGGUCUGGAAAGUCCGACGGUACAGGGUGAUAGUCCCGUACACCAAAAUGCACAGGUUGUGAACUCGAAGAGUAGGGCGGGACACGUGGUAUCCUGUCUGAAUAUGGGGGACCAUCCUCCAAGGCUAAAUACUCCUGACUGACCGAUAGUGAACCAGUACCGUGAGGGAAAGGCGAAAAGAACCCCGGCGAGGGGAGUGAAAAAGAACCUGAAACCGUGUACGUACAAGCAGUGGGAGCACCUUCGGGUGUGACUGCGUACCUUUUGUAUAAUGGGUCAGCGACUUAUAUUCUGUAGCAAGGUUAACCGUAUAGGGGAGCCGCAGGGAAACCGAGUCUUAACUGGGCGUUAAGUUGCAGGGUAUAGACCCGAAACCCGGUGAUCUAGCCAUGGGCAGGUUGAAGGUUGGGUAACACUAACUGGAGGACCGAACCGACUAAUGUUGAAAAAUUAGCGGAUGACUUGUGGCUGGGGGUGAAAGGCCAAUCAAACCGGGAGAUAGCUGGUUCUCCCCGAAAGCUAUUUAGGUAGCGCCUCGUGAAUUCAUCUUCGGGGGUAGAGCACUGUUUCGGCUAGGGGGUCAUCCCGACUUACCAACCCGAUGCAAACUACGAAUACCGAAGAAUGUUAUCACGGGAGACACACGGCGGGUGCUAACGUCCGUCGUGAAGAGGGAAACAACCCAGACCGCCAGCUAAGGUCCCAAAGUCAUGGUUAAGUGGGAAACGAUGUGGGAAGGCACAGACAGCCGGGAUGUUGGCUUAGAAGCAGCCAUCAUUUAAAGAAAGCGUAAUAGCUCACUGGUCGAGUCGGCCUGCGCGGAAGAUGUAACGGGGCUAAACCAUGCACCGAAGCUGCGGCAGCGACACUAUGUGUUGUUGGGUAGGGGAGCGUUCUGUAAGCCUGCGAAGGUGUGCUGUGAGGCAUGCUGGAGGUAUCAGAAGUGCGAAUGCUGACAUAAGUAACGAUAAAGCGGGUGAAAAGCCCGCUCGCCGGAAGACCAAGGGUUCCUGUCCAACGUUAAUCGGGGCAGGGUGAGUCGACCCCUAAGGCGAGGCCGAAAGGCGUAGUCGAUGGGAAACAGGUUAAUAUUCCUGUACUUGGUGUUACUGCGAAGGGGGGACGGAGAAGGCUAUGUUAGCCGGGCGACGGUUGUCCCGGUUUAAGCAUGUAGGCUGGUUGUCGAGGCAAAUCCGGAUAAUCAAGGCUGAGGUGUGAUGACGAGGCACUACGGUGCUGAAGUAACAAAUGCCCUGCUUCCGGGAAAAGCCUCUAAGCAUCAGGUAACAUCAAAUCGUACCCCAAACCGACACAGGUGGUCAGGUAGAGAAUACCAAGGCGCUUGAGAGAACUCGGGUGAAGGAACUAGGCAAAAUGGUGCCGUAACUUCGGGAGAAGGCACGCUGGUGUGUAGGUGAAGCCCCUGCGGGUGGAGCUGAGACCAGUCGAAGAUACCAGCUGGCUGCAACUGUUUAUUAAAAACACAGCACUGUGCAAACACGAAAGUGGACGUAUACGGUGUGACGCCUGCCCGGUGCCGGAAGGUUAAUUGAUGGGGUUAUCCGUAAGGAGAAGCUCUUGAUCGAAGCCCCGGUAAACGGCGGCCGUAACUAUAACGGUCCUAAGGUAGCGAAAUUCCUUGUCGGGUAAGUUCCGACCUGCACGAAUGGCGUAAUGAUGGCCGGCUGUCUCCACCCGAGACUCAGUGAAAUUGAACUCGCUGUGAAGAUGCAGUGUACCCGCGGCAAGACGGAAAGACCCCGUGAACCUUUACUAUAGCUUGACACUGAACAUUGAGCCUUGAUGUGUAGGAUAGGUGGGAGGCUUUGAAGCGUGGACGCCAGUCUGCGUGGAGCCAACCUUGAAAUACCACCCUUUAAUGUUUGAUGUUCUAACGUUGGCCCCUGACCGGGGUUGCGGACAGUGUCUGGUGGGUAGUUUGACUGGGGCGGUCUCCUCCCAAAGCGUAACGGAGGAGCACGAAGGUUAGCUAAUCCUGGUCGGACAUCAGGAGGUUAGUGCAAUGGCAUAAGCUAGCUUGACUGCGAGCGUGACGGCGCGAGCAGGUGCGAAAGCAGGUCAUAGUGAUCCGGUGGUUCUGAAUGGAAGGGCCAUCGCUCAACGGAUAAAAGGUACUCCGGGGAUAACAGGCUGAUACCGCCCAAGAGUUCAUAUCGACGGCGGUGUUUGGCACCUCGAUGUCGGCUCAUCACAUCCUGGGGCUGAAGUAGGUCCCAAGGGUAUGGCUGUUCGCCAUUUAAAGUGGUACGCGAGCUGGGUUUAGAACGUCGUGAGACAGUUCGGUCCCUAUCUGCCGUGGGCGCUGGAGAAUUGAGGGGGGCUGCUCCUAGUACGAGAGGACCGGAGUGGACGCAUCACUGGUGUUCGGGUUGUCAUGCCAAUGGCACUGCCCGGUAGCUAAAUGCGGAAGAGAUAAGUGCUGAAAGCAUCUAAGCACGAAACUUGCCCCGAGAUGAGUUCUCCCUGAGACUUUAAGUCUCCUGAAGGAACGUUGAAGACGACGACGUUGAUAGGCCGGGUGUGUAAGCGCAGCGAUGCGUUGAGCUAACCGGUACUAAUGAACCGUGAGGCUUAACCUUACAACGCCGAAG